rnacentral:lncRNA from 1 species
AACCUCGAUGGUAACAAGAUAAAUGAGAAUAUGAAAACUAUGAACCUCAUGUUAAAUCCCUAAGAAUUGGGUAUAAAUCGACAACUCCGAUUGAGUAGAAAUCUGGACGGUAACAAAGUAAAUGAAAAUGUGCAAAUGAUAAUCCUAGGCGUGGAUAACUAGGAUAAAGAAUAGAUCGAGUGGCAUGAACCUAGUGUUAUUAAACAUAGGUUGGACAGGAAAUGGACCUAGUGUUAGUAAACAUAGGGUGGACGGGAAAAGAACCUAGUGUUAUUGAACCUAGGUCGGACAUUAACCUAGUGUCAUUGGACAUAGGUCAAGUAAGUAAACUUAGAGUUGAGAUCUAGGAGAAAGAAUAUAAAACCUAGUGUAAAUGAACCUAGGUUAUGAUGUAAAGAAACACUCAGUAAAAGUAAACUAAGUUAUGAAUUAUAGUGGGAAUAGGACCACUAGAAAGUGAAUGGUAUAGACCUAGAAAGGUCGUCGACGUAGGGUAAAAGAGUAAACCCUUAAGUUGUGAAAGUGGGUUCCGGAAUCCCUAGGAAUGGUGUGAUGGCAAGAAUAGAAUCAUAACUACGGGAUCGACGGUUCUCCUCUCCCGGUAGUGAUUCAACGGGAUCGACGGUUCUCCUCUCCCU